GCGCCGAUGGUUUAGUGGUAAAAUUCUCAGUUGCCAUCCAGCAGCGUCGGGGAGCCGGGGGUUCGAUUCCCCCUCGGCGCA
rnacentral:tRNA from 1 species